UUAAGAUGGUUUUUCAUAUUUUUACUGCAAGUAAGUUCAAUUCUUGAUUAUUUCUUAAAAUUUUUGCGUUUUUGUGACUUUUACAACUAGACCCACUUGUUGAAUUCAUUAAUUUUUAAUUCUAUGAAAGAAGUUGAAAGUUGCUAUGAAUAUGUGCUGGAAGUAUAUGAUGAUUUAGCAUUGAAUUAGAGCUUUAAAUUGUUUAUAUGCUGAUUUUAUUGAAAGAAUUGAACAGAAAGUGAAUGUUUGGGACCUAAUAGUAAAAGAGUUUGAAGUUAGGGUUUUAUGAGAAAAUUAUGAAUUUCAAUAGUUAUGAAUAACUUAUAAUGUCCAGGUAAAGUACUAAUUGAGAAAAAUUAGCUUAAUUGAGGGGUUAAUUGAGCAAUGACUGAAUUGUAUGAACUGUGAAAUUUGGGGCAAAAUGGAAAUCAACAUUUUGCACUAAAACAGUUUUGGAAAGCAGCAGUAGUUUAACUUUGAAAAAUCAUCAAAAAUUGUGGGAAUCAAAUUAGAGAAUGGAUAAAAUAUUAAAUUAAAUCUUAUUGAGUCUAGUUUCUCAUAGAAGAAACGGUGUAAGUGAUAGAAUAGUAAAUUAUGAGAUAUAAUAAAUUUUGUGAGACAAGUUUAGAAUGAUUUUGGGUUCCUCUGUUCUGACUUUGGAAAAUCACUAAAAAUUGUACAAAAAUAAUUAUGGGCUAAACUUUAUAUGUUUAGAAUUCUGAAUGAGUCUAUUUCAAAAGAAACACACGAGAACAUUAUCUGUAUUCUGUACAAUGAGAUACUUAAUUUUUAGUGAAGAGGGGUCAGAACUGUCGAGUAGUGAAACAGGAGAAACUUUAAAGAAUAAACUGUACUUAUUGGAUAAGCUAAAAAUUAUGAAAAUUUUAUGGUAAGAAUAUAUGUGAGUCUAGUUUUGGGUAAAAUUAACGGAUCUUAAUUUGGAGCUCUGUAGCUCGAGAUAUAAAUAAAUUAGUGACUUUGACUCAGACAGACAGCUUGAAUUGACAUACAGGAAAAUAGUGAAAGAAUGGAUAAUGUUGUUUAAAUGUGUUAUACACAUUAAGGAUGUGGAAUGGAGAGGAGGAGGAAAACUGGAAAAAUAUAUGAAUGAUUCAUGUAUAAUUGGUCAUAUGCUCGAUUAUAAUUAAUAAAUGAUGAAAUAGAAAUGAUGUUUAUAUUUGUGCAUUAUUGGUCAUGGUUUAAGUUCAUGUGGGUAAGUAAAGUUUCAUAGUAUGUGUGUAUGGUAUAUUGGGUAUAUGAUUUGGCAUGAAGUAAUGUCAUGAAUGGUUUAUGAAUUAACACAUGUUGGUAAGUUACGUGUAAAUAAUAGUUAUAUUUUUAUAAAUUGUGAAUUAUAUUUGAUAUGUGAAUUAAUAUUGAAUGUGGAAGGAAAAUUAUUCAUGAAUUAUUCAAGUGAUAAAGUGUUUAAAAUAAAGUGUUAAGUGUAAAUUUCCGGUUGAACUUAGGAAUAGAAGUGGAUACAAGUGACAUGUCACUAGAGACUAGUGUUACAGUGAGUCCCAGGUGCUAGGUGAUCUAGUAUGUGUUGCAGACACCUGACAGCUUGUGUGAGCAGGCCCGUGGACAUUUCCAGUGUUAUUGAUCAGUGGUAGCUUCGGCUACAUUUCAGUGGUAGCUACGGCUACAUAUCAGUGGUAGCUUCGGCUACAUAUCAGUGUGGCACUUAUGUGCUAAUUCUCUACUUAUCCGUGUAUAUUCCGAAUGUUCAACAAGAUUAAUAAUGAGUUAAAGUGAAUAUGAAAUGUGGUGUACAUGCUUAGGCUUUGGUCAAGUUGUAGCUCAAUUAUGCCACGUUAAACUUAUAAGUUAUGCAUUGAAUUGAUAUGUUUAUGUUUUGUGUAAUAUGCAUAGGAACGGGUGUGGAAAGGUAAUGAAAUAGUAAAUUCAUACUUGAAGGGUAAAAUGACGAAAAAGGAGAUGAUGAAUUGAAUUGAUGUUGUUAUUUAAGCUAGAGUGAUAUUUUUAUUGCAAAAUUGAGAAUUUCAUAAAUGUGUUAAUGAAUGAUAUAACCGAUAUACGUUAAGUUAAAUGGUAAAUACGUAUUAG
rnacentral:lncRNA from 1 species